rnacentral:rRNA from 1 species
UGGGGAAUAUUGGACAAUGGGCGAAAGCCUGAACCAGCCAUGCCGCGUGUGUGAAGAAGGUCUUCGGAUUGUAAAGCACUUUAAGUUGGGAGGAAGGGCAGUAAGCGAAUACCUUGCUGUUUUGACGUUACCGACAGAAUAAGCACCGGCUAACUCUGUGCCAGCAGCCGCGGUAAUACAGAGGGUGCAAGCGUUAAUCGGAAUUACUGGGCGUAAAGCGCGCGUAGGUGGUUCGUUAAGUUGAAUGUGAAAGCCCCGGGCUCAACCUGGGAACUGCAUCCAAAACUGGCGAGCUAGAGUAGGGCAGAGGGUGGUGGAAUUUCCUGUGUAGCGGUGAAAUGCGUAGAUAUAGGAAGGAACACCAGUGGCGAAGGCGACCACCUGGGCUCAUACUGACACUGAGGUGCGAAAGCGUGGGGAGCAAACAGG